GGGGCCCAGCUUCUAUUGUAAACAAAUAGAAGUCUGGCAUGAGCGGAAUAAUGGCCGACGCGAUGAUAAUAGUAAGUUAACCAAAUAUUUUUAAAAAGUGGUUCGUCGGGCUCUCAUUCAUUUUUCAAUCGAGAUGCAUAUAUUUCAUUCUGUAAACGUUCUUCCUUUUUUCGAGUUCUUCCGCAUAUAAGAGUUAAUUAAUGUUCCAUAACCUGAGUAUGUUUCGGACAAGUACACAGAUAGUGUUAUUUCGGAUGUCUGAGUAAAUUUGUAACAUACUGUAUUUCUGACGUAUGUUUGAGUAGUGUGACAAAUAUGAAUGCAUUGCGGUGUGGUUAUCUUUGAUUAACAUUGCAUCUUUAUGUAUUCAGGCCUUUUUCCAGUUUAACCACAGUCGAAUUUCAGACCUGCUUUUCCCAGAUUAACAAAAAUGCUUCUAAAAAUCUUUUCUAAACUCCAUUAAAAAUGGUUCAUGGUUUUCAAAACAAAGUUAUUUUAUUAAUUCAUAAAUCAUAUUUCAGAUGGAUCAUACUUAUAUAAAAGGGGAGAGAGUGUCUGGGUUUCAAGUGAUCGGGAGUAGGUCUGGCCCAGAUCACAUAUAAAGUUCCUGUGCCCCCAAAGACUCAAGUACCCCUCCGAAACGAGGAAGCAAGAGGGCAGUGUCAACUCCCACAGGACAAACACCUACACAUAAACAUAAAAGGAUUGAACUGGAUGAAAAAACCAGACACAACAAAUGGUCCCUUGAUGAGACAUCCUUUCUGAGAGAAUACAGUCAGACAUUACGAAAAGAUGGCGAGUCAGAAAACAGUUUCUGGAACAACUGCGCAAUUGCAAUGAACAACAUGUUUGGUGAAAAAAACAGAACAGGGAAGUCCUGCAAGAUGGCAGCCUGGCGGUUAAAUCUUUCUGGUACAUGUAACAGCACCAUGUGUACUUCUGUUAAUGAAGACUUUGUGGAUUUUACGCCGCUGUCAGAGACAAAAGGAAACAAUGUGGGAACCCAGACUGAUUUGUCUUUUAAUAAUAAGCAAA